GUUUAAUUAGGAAUCCCAAGCAAAGAAUAUCUAUCUCUGAACUUUUGAUCCAUCCUUAUGUACAUCUACAGUCCAAUUCACAAACAGGACAUCAAAAUGCAAAAGGAACAUCAGAAGAAAUGAAGCGUAUUCUUGGUCAACUUAUCGGCUUGAAUUCUCCUAACUCUAUUUCCAAAGCUGCUAGAACUUUAUAUGAGCAGUGCAACAAAGGUGAAGGUUUAGAUGUGUCUGCUUUUUCAAAAUCUGACAGUCGGACAACCUGGAAAACAAAGUAAUAAGGCCUGAUUUACAAAAGAUAUAAAUGAAAAUAAGAUAUUCUAAGCAAAGGCUGGUCACAUCUGGGUAUAUUUGUCUUGCCACUUACAAAUGUUUAUCAUCAUUUUUUUCAUCUAGUAUUUGCAUAUGAAUAUUAUGGACCAUUCCUGCUAUAUAACAUGCUGGUCUGCUGUUAUAUUUGGAUAGCAAAUACUUGUGGAUUAGUUGAAUAAAGCUUAGCUGUGAUUCUGAAUCUUGAGAGAAAUGUUUUGACUUGUUUUAACAUGAACUAAGGAACUCUAGUUCUGGACAACUAUCUUUAACAAUCAAGUCAAUUAUUUUCUUUUCUAUCAGAUUCAGCUGUCAUUUUUUUCAUAUUUUGCUGGUGGUAGAUACUAUAAAAGCAGUACUUCAAAUUAUGCUGCUUUUAUUCAUUAUUUUAUCCUGUACAUAUUCCUGUGGAAAUCUUUUUGAUGUACAGAUGAUACAAUCUACUGAUACUGAUGUUCAACUUUGUAAAUAAAAAGAUACUCAUCCUGUGUUAAUCUUGCAGUUUCUAAGUAAACAGAGCAUCCUAU